AUACGGAGGGUACGAACGUUAAUCGGAAUUACUGGGCGUAAAGCGCGCGUAGGCGGUUACGUAAGUCGGAUGUGAAAGCCCCGGGCUCAACCUGGGAAUUGCAUUCGAAACUGCGUAGCUAGAGUCUGAUAGAGGGAAGUGGAAUUUCCGGUGUAGCGGUGAAAUGCGUAGAUAUCGGAAGGAACAUCAGUGGCGAAGGCGGCUUCCUGGAUCAAGACUGACGCUCAGGUGCGAAAGCGUGGGGAGCAAACAGGAGUAGAAACCCCAGUAGUCC
rnacentral:rRNA from 1 species